AUUGAACGCUGGCGGCAGGCCUAACACAUGCAAGUCGAACGAGUGGCGGACGGGUGAGUAAUGUCUGGGAAACUGCCAGAUGGAGGGGGAUAACUACUGGAAACGGUAGCUAAUACCGCAUACCAUCGGAUGUGCCCAGAUGGGAUUAGCUUGUUGGUGGGGUAACGGCUCACCAAGGCGACGAUCCCUAGCUGGUCUGAGAGGAUGACCAGCCACACUGUAACUGCGAAACGGUACAGACUCCUACGGGAGGCAGCAGUGGGGAAUAUUGCACAAUGGGCUGAAGCCUGAUGCAGCCAUGCCGCGUGUAUGAAGAAGGCCUUCGGGUUGUAAAGUACUUUCAGCGGGGAGGCGUUACCCGCAGAAGAAGCACCGGCUAACUCCGUGCCAGCAGCCGCGGUAAUUC
rnacentral:rRNA from 1 species